rnacentral:rRNA from 1 species
AAGCAAGAUGACCCGCCGAAUUAAKCAUAUAAUUAAUGCGGANGAAAAGA